GGGAAGCAUGAUGGAGCUCUUCGAUCCAUCAGUUCAUCUAUUGGAACCUUUGAUCCAGGAGAUCUUUUCUAUUGCAAAUCUCGAGAGUCUUCUAGCAGAAUGGAGGUAGAGACCCUCCAGGGGUGGAAUCGUGAUCAGACAGAGGGCUCUCCACCUUCUGCUUCCCCUUUUCGGGGGAUACAGGGGGACUGGCCCAAGUGGGCUACCCGAUCA
rnacentral:lncRNA from 1 species